UACAGAGGUCUCAAGCGUUGUUCGGAUUCAUUGGGCGUAAAGGGUGCGUAGGCGGGUCUUUAAGUCAGGGGUGAAAUCCUGGAGCUCAACUCCAGAACUGCCUUUGAUACUGAGGAUCUUGAGUUCGGGAGAGGUGAGUGGAACUGCGAGUGUAGAGGUGAAAUUCGUAGAUAUUCGCAAGAACACCAGUGGCGAAGGCGGCUCACUGGCCCGAUACUGACGCUGAGGCACGAAAUCGUGGGGAGCAAACAGG
rnacentral:rRNA from 1 species